rnacentral:tRNA from 1 species
GGUGAGGUUCCCGAGUGGCCAAAGGGGGCGGACUGUAAAUCCGCUGACAUACGUCUUCGUAGGUUCGAAUCCUACCCUCACCA